GAUGAACGCUGGCGGCGUGCCUAAUACGUGCAAGUCGAGCGAAUGGAUUAAGAGCUUGCUCUUAUGAAGUUAGCGGCGGACGGGUGAGUAACACGUGGGUAACCUGCCCAUAAGACUGGGAUAACUCCGGGAAACCGGGGCUAAUACCGGAUAACAUUUUGAACCGCAUGGUUCGAAAUUGAAAGGCGGCUUCGGCUGUCACUUAUGGAUGGACCCGCGUCGCAUUAGCUAGUUGGUGAGGUAACGGCUCACCAAGGCAACGAUGCGUAGCCGCCCUGAGAGGGUGAUCGGCCACACUGGGACUGAGACACGGCCCAGACUCCUACGGGAGGCAGCAGUAGGGAAUCUUCCGCAAUGGACGAAAGUCUGACGGAGCAACGCCGCGUGAGUGAUGAAGGCUUUCGGGUCGUAAAACUCUGUUGUUAGGGAAGAACAAGUGCUAGUUGAAUAAGCUGGCACCUUGACGGUACCUAACCAGAAAGCCACGGCUAACUACGUGCCAGCAGCCGCGGUAA
rnacentral:rRNA from 1 species